rnacentral:rRNA from 1 species
UACGUAGGGGGCGAGCGUUGUCCGGAAUUAUUGGGCGUAAAGGGCGCGUAGACGGCUGAGUAAGUUACUGGUGAAAGCCCAGCUUUUAAGGCUGGAAUUGCCGGUAAUACUGUUCAGCUUGAGUGCAGGAGAGGGAAGCGGAAUUCCUAGUGUAGCGGUGAAAUGCGUAGAUAUUAGGAGGAACACCAGUGGCGAAGGCGGCUUUCUGGACUGUAACUGACGUUGAGGCGCGAAAGCGUGGGGAGCAAACAGGAUUAGAUACCCUGGUAGUCCACGCCGUAAACGAUGGAUGCGAGGUGUGGGAGGUAUCGACCCCUUCCGUGCCGCAGUUAACGCAAUAAGCAGCCCGCCUGGGGAGUACGGCCGCAAGGUUGAA